rnacentral:rRNA from 1 species
UACGUAGGGUGCGAGCGUUAAUCGGAAUUACUAGGCGUAAAGCGUGCGCAGGCGGUUUUGUAAGACAGGCGUGAAAUCCCCGGGCUCAACCUGGGAAUGGCGCUUGUGACUGCAAGGCUGGAGUGCGGCAGAGGGGGAUGGAAUUCCGCGUGUAGCAGUGAAAUGCGUAGAUAUGCGGAGGAACACCGAUGGCGAAGGCAAUCCCCUGGGCCUGCACUGACGCUCAUGCACGAAAGCGUGGGGAGCAAACAGG